rnacentral:lncRNA from 1 species
UGUUACAUGAUAGUUAGUCAUACAAAUUUAUUGUAAUCCUUUUGUCUCAAUUUAUUUGAACAUUUUAUAAAAACAUUAAAUUCAAAAUUUGUGUGAUUUCUAACAAAAAUUACUUUAAUAUUCUUCAAACUCCUAAAUUCUUUUUUUCCAAAUUAAAAACUUUAAAUUGUCAAUUUGUAUUAAUUUCUAAUAAUUUUUAUAUUUCACAAUUUCUAAUAUUUUUUAGAUUUACUUUAAUUUUAUUGUCAACUUGUAUUAAUUUCCUUGAUUUUUUCUAAUUUUUAAAAUAUUUUAGUGAAGUUAUCAUUUGUAUAGUUCCUUGUAAAGAAAAACAAAUAAGAAACUAUGCUUCAGUUUCUGUCUUGAGGUUUUAAGUUGGGCCUGC